GAUGAAGAACGUAGCGAAAUGCGAUAAGUAAUGUGAAUUGCAGAAUUCAGUGAAUCAUCGAAUCUUUGAACGCACAUUGCGCCUGCCAGUACUCUGGCGGGCAUGCCUGUCCGAGCGUCAUUUCAACCCUCGAACCCCUCCGGGGGGUCGGCGUUGGGGAUCGGCCCUUUCACCGGGUGCCGUCCCCCAAAUACAGUGGCGGUCUCGCCGCAGCCUCUCAUGCGCAGUAGUUUGCACACUCGCACCGCGAGCGCGGCGCGUCCACGUCCGUAAAACACCCCAAACUUCUGAAAUGUUGACCUCGGAUCAGGUAGGAAUACCCGCUGAACUUAAGCAUAUCAAUAAGCGGAGGA
rnacentral:misc_RNA from 1 species